UCCCUGGUGGUCCAGUGGUUAAGACUUCCACCUUCCAAUGUAGAGGAUGCAGGUUCAAUCCCUGCCCAGGGAG
rnacentral:tRNA from 1 species